rnacentral:rRNA from 1 species
AAGCGGUGGAGGAUGUGGCUUAAUUCGAGGCUACGCGAAGAACCUUAUCCUAGUCUUGACAUGCACGGAUUAACCCUGUGAAAGCAGGGCCACGCCUUCGGGUGGAACGUGCACAGGUGCUGCAUGGCUGUCGUCAGCUCGUGUCGUGAGAUGUCGGGUUAAGUCCCUUAACGAGCGAAACCCUUGUCUCUAGUUGCCAGCGGGUAAAGCCGGGGACUCUAGAGAGACCGCCGGUGUUAAACCGGAGGAAGGUGGGGAUG